rnacentral:rRNA from 1 species
ACUCCUACGGGAGGCAGCAGUGGGGGAAUAUUGCACAAUGGGGGAAACCCUGAUGCAGCCAUGCCGCGUGUGUGAAGAAGGCCUUCGGGUUGUAAAGCACUUUCUAGUAGGGAGGAAGGUAGUGUAGUUAACACCUGCAUUAUUUGUACGUUACCUACAGAAGAAGCACCGGCUAACUCCGUGCCAGCAGCCGCGGUAAUACGGAGGGUGCGAGCGUUAAUCGGUAAUUACGUGGGCGUAAAGCGCAUGCAGGCGGCCUGUUAAGUCAGAUGUGAAAGCCCCGGGGGUCCUUAACCGUCGGAAUUUGCAUUUGAAACUGGCGAGGCUAGAGUCUUGUAGGAGGGGGUUAGAAUUUCAGGUGUAGCGGUAGAAAUGCGUAGAGAUCUGAAGGAAUACCA